rnacentral:lncRNA from 1 species
AAUAUUGAGGAUGCUAAACCUUCUGGAGUAAUCAGGUAACGUGUGUAUUUAACUCAAGGACUGAAUCCUAAGAACUCCUUUUAGGAAAGGCCGUCAGCAUUAUUUAGUGCUAGAUUUUUUACUUUGGUUUCUGUAGAAACUUUCAUCUCCCAAUAUUUGAAAUGCAAAUAUCUCCACUGGGCUUUUGGUUCCUUUUAUGGUUUUCAAAGGUACUAUAUCAUUAUAUUUGGUAAUAUCAUUUACUUUGCAUAAUUGUUCCUAAUCUUUAUUUU